AUGCACCACCACACCCGGCUACUUUUGUAUUUUUUUUUUAGUAGAGAUGGGGUUUUACCAUGUCGUUCAGGCUGGUCCCGACCCCCCACCUCAAGUGAUCCGCCCGCCUCGGCCUCCCAAAGUGCUGGGAUUACAGGUGUGAGCCACCGCGCCUGGCCUUAUUGCUGAUUUAGAGCAGUUCAUCUACACUGGGGCCAGGGAAGUGGCAAAAGAAGGGGCUGUUGGUGGUGGUUGCUGGGGUUACUGACCCAAUAAUCAUAUUUAAGAUUAUAGUUACUAAUGCCUAUUUCAUGCCAAGCACUGUGCUAGGUACUCUCCAGGCUUCCUGUCGUUGAUUCUUCCCAAUAAGUGCAUGGGACAUUCUCUUCAUUUUACCAAGGAGAUCGAAAAGAUUCAGUAACUUUUCCAGGCCCACCCAGCUGGGACUCCAACCCAGGUUAUUCAAAGCCCAUGCUUUGAACCUUCAUGCUGGAGAGUUUUGUUGAGAAGGAGGAAUGAGGUCCCCGUGUCUCACAGGGGUUGUCAGUUCUGCAAGAAGUGCUGAGGUGUGGAUUCCUCACAUCUCUGAGGUGAUGUAUGACUCUUCCUGAAGGCCACGCUCCUUCCCUUUGCCACCGGACAGGGUCCGUGGCCUGCUCUGCAACUGCCUUCCCAGCAUGUCCCAGUUUCUUUCCCCGGCCUCCUCCCUCGGGUUCUGUCUGAGACUCUUCGUGGAUGGGGUUGGAGCAACCAGGAGCACUUGGGAAAUGGCACUGCUCUCACCUGAACUAUCACUCUGAGUGUUUCCAGAGCACAUAGCCACUGUUUGUUGGUUCUCAGUUUGUUUUCAGGCAAUGGCAUGUUCAGAUAGCUGAGGAGCUCGAAGGUUGAAGGAAAAUCUGCAGCUUCUGGACCCUGAGAGGCAGUGUCAUGAGAGGACACCAUUCUUUUCACUGGGUCUGCAUGCCCAAAAAAAGGAGUACAGUCACAGAUCGGGGUGAAAGCACAAGCAGGAAGCUCGGGUUCAGAAAGGCUGAGUAGACGGGACCAAGUCCACCAAGAGGUGGAGAAGGCCAAUCAUGUUCCAGGAAUGCGGCGGAAGGGCUGCCGUAACAAAGAACUGCAAACUUGGUGACUUCAACAACAGAAAUUG